GCUGCCAUCGAAGAGGUGGAGCAACAAUUGUUGGAAGGAGGAGAAAAUGUUCAUAUAGACGUGCAGCUAAUAGAGAGAGAUGACGAGGUCCGAUCUCUUUUCACUCUUGUGAUCUGCGCCAGAAUCGCUUAGCUCUGUGAUUUUUCAUGGGUUUCCUGAUUCCUCCGCUUCCCGAUCGCUUGAUAGGUCAAGGCUCUAUUUUGUGAGCCAGAGCCUUUGAUUUUUCGAUCUCUGUUCUUCGAUUAGGUUUUGGGAUCUUUCAUCUAGUUGUUGGGUAUUGUCGCAUCCAUGGCUUCGAGAUCGAGAUUGAUUGAUACUCUUCCGAAGUAUGAAGUGACGAUACUGCUUUCUUCGCUGAAGUAGUUGUAGAUUCAUAUGUAGAAAUAACUUGUGAAUCAUCGAAUUAGUCGCUGAUACAAAUAAAAGCGACAUUAACACUUCUUUCUGCCAUUAUAGCGUUCAUUACCUGAAAUUUCCUGAUAGAAUUAGACUUCCUUAUAUUUUCCUGAUAACUUUUUUCCUCGUUUUUUUCUUGUACAACAAAUUUGCCAUUGAUUUGGUAUCUUUAGAAUGUUAAUGAAAAAUUACAUAGUGGAGAUGGAUCUGUGGAUCUUUGUGGAAACCCUGCUUUGAAGAACAGCACAGGCAACCAGAGAGCUUGCUUUAACAUUCUUUGCCACUAACAUUAGCUUGACAUAAUCAAGUCUCUUCUUUGUGAGAUCUCUAUAAAGUCACUUCUCGUUUCCAAAUCACGAAUUACAUGGGAUCGGUUCUGUGAACAUAUAACAAAAUCUCGGCACGCACUUGAAGAUUUUUGCAGAAUUCUCAGUCAUAUACUUCAUCUUGAGCAUUUCUGGUUCAUCUCUCAUUUCCUUUUAUGAUUUGCCAUCUAGUUGCAAUGAGUUAUGAUCUGUGGAAGCUGAUUAAUGCCUGCUGCAUUAUGAGCCAUUCAGCAUCCGUUCCAGGUUCCAAGACUCCACCUUGUACAUACAAAAAAUGUCAGCAUCAUUACCGCUGACAUUUUUGUAUGUGCCUAAAUCUGUGCAGAUUGUUAUUGUGUACAUGACGUUGGAUUAUGCAUUGAUUACAAUUAUCUACUGCAGAUUCCUUACACACUGAUAUAAACGUCUCUAUUCAAUGUCUCUGAACAGAGUUGCCUGAGAAGAUCUGAUGAAAUUUCCCUGUUUGGUUUGCAGGAUGACUAGCCGAUCGGCACAUGCUGCAAGACAGCAGAAGUCGGCAUAUGGACCAGGGAACAUUUUUGAAGAACGAGGGGAUGAAGAAAAAGAAGCCAGUAUUGCUUCCAAUUAGUCAAAGGGAUCGUUGUUCUCGAAAAGAACUCCGUGUGUUCGUACACUCGAAACGCAAGUAAGAUUGGUUGUUGGCAUUAGAAGGUUUGCAUGGCCGCAAUUUCACACCACCUUUUCCAAUCAAAUCUAGAGGAAAAGGACAUCGCACGUAUGGCAUCAAAGUAUUAUUCUCAGGUAACAACAUGAAGCACUAUUAUUUUGUUAAUAAUCAACAAAAUGAGCUUGAAUCAAC
rnacentral:lncRNA from 1 species